AGGAUGAACGCUAGCUACAGGCUUAACACAUGCAAGUCGAGGGGAAACGAUAGAGAAAGCUUGCUUUUUCUAGGCGUCGACCGGCGCACGGGUGAGUAACGCGUAUCCAACCUGCCCAUCACUUGGGGAUAACCUUGCGAAAGUAAGACUAAUACCCAAUGAGGUCUCUAGAAGACAUCUGAAAGAGAUUAAAGAUUUAUCGGUGAUGGAUGGGGAUGCGUCUGAUUAGCUUGUUGGCGGGGUAACGGCCCACCAAGGCGACGAUCAGUAGGGGUUCUGAGAGGAAGGUCCCCCACAUUGGAACUGAGACACGGUCCAAACUCCUACGGGAGGCAGCAGUGAGGAAUAUUGGUCAAUGGGCGAGAGCCUGAACCAGCCAAGUAGCGUGCAGGAUGACGGCCCUAUGGGUUGUAAACUGCUUUUAUAAGGGAAUAAAGUGGGAGUCGUGACUCCUUUUGCAUGUACCUUAUGAAUAAGGACCGGCUAAUUCCGUGCCAGCAGCCGCGGUAAUACGGAAGGUCCGGGCGUUAUCCGGAUUUAUUGGGUUUAAAGGGAGCGUAGGCCGGAGAUUAAGCGUGUUGUGAAAUGUAGACGCUCAACGUCUGCACUGCAGCGCGAACUGGUUUCCUUGAGUACGCACAAAGUGGGCGGAAUUCGUGGUGUAGCGGUGAAAUGCUUAGAUAUCACGAAGAACUCCGAUUGCGAAGGCAGCUCACUGGAGCGCAACUGACGCUGAAGCUCGAAAGUGCGGGUAUCGAACAGGAUUAGAUACCCUGGUAGUCCACGCGGUAAACGAUGGAUGCUCGCUGUUUGCGUCUGACGUAAGCGGCCAAGCGAAAGCGUUAAGCAUCCCACCUGGGGAGUACGCCGGCAACGGUGAAACUCAAAGGAA
rnacentral:rRNA from 1 species